rfam:Oryza sativa Japonica Group DNA, chromosome 4, cultivar: Nipponbare, complete sequence.
AAUAAGCACAGCCAUGAGUUUUCAUGUCCAACUUUGAUGAUUCGUCUUAUUUAAAUUUUUUUAUGAAUAUUAUUUUGUUUAUUAUUAGGUUAUAAAAUAUGAAUAGUAAUUUAUGCAUGACUUUAGUCCAAAUAUGAAAAGUAAUUUAUGCAUGACUUUAGUCCAAAUAUGAUUUUUAGUUUUUUAAAAAAAAAUAAAUAAGUUGGACGAUCAAAGUUAGACACGGAAGCUUAUCUCUGCACUUAUU